UACGUAGGUGGCGAGCGUUAUCCGGAUUUACUGGGCGUAAAGGGAGCGUAGGCGGAUGAUUAAGUGGGAUGUGAAAUACCCGGGCUCAACUUGGGUGCUGCAUUCCAAACUGGUUAUCUAGAGUGCAAGAGAGGAGAGUGGAAUUCCUAGUGUAGCGGUGAAAUGCGUAGAGAUUAGGAAGAACACCAGUGGCGAAGGCGACUCUCUGGACUGUAACUGACGCUGAGGCUCGAAAGCGUGGGGAGCAAACAGGAUUAGAUACCCCGGUAGU
rnacentral:rRNA from 1 species